GAUAGUCAAUCGAUUGGUGUGGAACACCUUUAAGAAUAAUAUUUGCCUAUGUUUCAGCGGUUCAGAUUGCUACUGAAGCACCUAGAUUGGAUGCUCCUGUAGAAGGAGAACAGUUUGAAUAUACAGCUAAAUACACCUGCAAAGAGCCAUGUACGGUGAAAGAGCUGCGAGGAAACGGUAUCCCGGUGAGCGUCACGCAAGGCACACGCCGAUCCAACGUCGGGUCGUUAGUUUUCUAUUUGCUUGGCGCCGACACCGGAGAACGUGAAGGAUCGAUCAUUAUCAGGAUAAAUGAGUUUGCGGCCGUAUACGAAGGCUUCUACCAAGCCACUUUCGAGACCAAUGGCGAGCAUGUCACUAAGAAUAUUCUUGAAAUCGGACCUAAGGUUGCAGAAACUUCAGGAGGUGGCGCUGGUAAGAUACAAGUACUUUUUUUAUGAAACACGAUUAUUUAUAAUCGAGCAGAC